GUAGGGAAUAUUGGGCAAUGGAGGCAACUCUGACCCAGCCAUGCCGCGUGCAGGAUGACGGCCCUCUGGGUUGUAAACUGCUUUUAUACGGGAAGAAAAAAUACUACGUGUAGUAUACUGACGGUACCGUAAGAAUAAGGAUCGGCUAACUCCGUGCCAGCAGCCGCGGUAAUACGGAGGAUCCAAGCGUUGUCCGGAUGUAUUGGGUUUAAAGGGUGCGUAGGCGGAUCUUUAAGUCAGUGGUGAAAGCCUGCAGCUUAACUGUAGAAUUGCCAUUGAAACUGAAGAUCUUGAAUGUGGUUAAAGUAGGCGGAAUGUAUCAUGUAGCGGUGAAAUGCUUAGAUAUGAUACAGAACACCGAUAGCGAAGGCAGCUUGCUGAACCAUUAUUGACGCUGAGGCACGAAAGCGUGGGGAGCGAACAGGAUUAGAAACCCUAGUAGUCC
rnacentral:rRNA from 1 species